UCCCUGGUGGCUCAGACGGUAAAGCAUCUGCUUACAAUGCAGGCGACCCAGAUUCAAACUCUGGGCCUCGAAG
rnacentral:tRNA from 1 species